CACGUAGGCGGUGAAUCGGGUUGAAAGUGAAAGUCGCCAAAAAGUGGCGGAAUGCUCUCGAAACCAAUUCACUUGAGUGAGACAGAGGAGAGUGGAAUUUCGUGUGUAGGGGUGAAAUCCGUAGAUCUACGAAGGAACGCCAAAAGCGAAGGCAGCUCUCUGGGUCCCUACCGACGCUGGGGUGCGAAAGCAUGGGGAAGCGAAACAG
rnacentral:rRNA from 1 species